UUUUCCCCAUUGUCGUGGUUUAGCUUAUUUCAUUUACGUUCUGGUGGUUUAUUAGGCGCAAUCUUUCUCUUAGUUACUUGUCGCUCGUCGACUCCAUCACCCAUCGGUUUGCAUUCUUGUGCUUCAACUUUGCUCUCUCCGGUUUAAGCAGUCCGUUGUUCGGCUGAGCUAGUACAAUUAGCUUUCCAUUGGAGGUGGCGAGGAAAAGGCUAAUGGUGGGAGCUCUAGAGGGUAAGUGCUCACCCCACAUGGCAGCAGCACUUUCGGAAGUCAUCAAGGAGAAAGGCCUGAUGGGACUCUACAGAGGGUGGGGGGCUAGUUGUUUAAAGGUCAUGCCAUCAAAUCUUGGUUUUUUCCUCAAGGGAAGUUCAUGGUUUUGGACGAGGGGCUCCCCCAUGCUAUCUAGCAUUUACAGCAUUGUUGAGUUCCAACCAAAAAAUUUUGGAAUGUUGUGUAUUAUAUAACUAUUUGGAAUGCUGUGUAUUAUGGAACUAUUUGGAAUAUUGUUGUGUACUAUGAGAAUUGUGUUACUGGACACAGGUUGAUUUAUAGAACCACAAAAAAGCUUCUUUCAUUUGUAGAAA